GGAGAGACAGUUGGUUUUUAAAUCUAGCAGGAGUGACAGUUGGUGUUUAAAUAUUGCAGGAGUGACAGUCAUUAAAUCUGGCAAGAGCGUUUUAGAAGUUUAGUAAAAAAUUUUGUAAAUUAAAUUUAAUUAAAAACGUAUUAGGAUUGGUAUCAAUAAUUAGAGAAACGGGAGCAUGAACUUUUAAUUGUUAAUUCUCUUAUUUUAGACGAAUCUAAUUGUGGUUCUUACUCUCAACAAAUUAAGGAUUACAAACAUAUUAUAUAUAUAUAAUAUGAGUAUAGUGAAAAACUAUAGAAAACAUUCAUAAAUAAAUAUAUAUAUAUGUAAAGAGAAUAUAUUCUCUUUAAACUUAUCGCGCUAAGUAUGAUCCGCGCGCCUCUAUGAUGGUAUAUAAGCAAAGAAAAGUGAGAACGUAUUUAGUUUAUAAAUUUCGUUAAAUAAAGAUACAUUAGUAAUUGUUAUUAACCGUACGGGUGAUCAACGAAUAGUGUUGUGAAAGAAGGACGAAUAACUGACGUUAUCAUCGUCGUUUCUCUUAUUUUACAGAGAAACUAAUUGGACAACUUAUUUGGACCAUUAUAAACCCUCGAUAUAGAAAAAUAUUACAUAUAUAAAUAAUAAAUACUACAAGAAAAAAUAAAUAACUAUAAAUUAAAUUUCUGAUAUUAAGGCGUAUGAGAAGUUACAUGUAUCUUAUUUGAAAAAUCCGGAAUGUAUACGCGAUACGAAAUAGAAUGAUGAUCACAAUAA
rnacentral:lncRNA from 1 species